UUGAAAACUUAAUUUUAAUUCAUUAUUAUGCUAAAGGAAUUUAUUCCCAUAAGGGAAGAAGACAGGAAGAGACAAAGCACGCAAACAAUGCAGAGAGCCACAUCUGUUUACUUUCUGAGGAGGAGAUGACAGUCUCAGACAUCUUUGCAGCUACAUCUUUGCAUUUGCUCUGCUCAUGGCCAUCUCUGCCGACUUCCUCUUAUCAUGGUAAUAACCUAUUGAAGAUACUUCAACAUCUGAAGAAAAUCUCAGUUAUUAAGAUUAAAGCUUCAAUGAAAGAAAAUGGUCCAAAUGAGUGACAUAUGAACAUCUAACCAUUGUUCUUAUGGACUCCAGGAUUCUGUCAAGGCGGAAUGAGCUACAGGUAUGUAAAAUCAAAACUAUUUGGAUUUCCAGAAAAGCUUAUUCAUUACAUUUAGCUGUAAUAAUAACAAUACAAUUGACCCAUGAAAACUCCGGUGUUCUCACCCUAUAAAUGCUUACAGGAGGACCUAUUGGACUUCCUUGACUCUUCUAGUAACAAACUCUACCUCAUUGGACUUCAAUUAUGCAACUAAUAAGAUUCAACAUAUUUCUUGGGUUUCUUGGGAUUCUCACCUUGUACCUCCUCAAGUUUGCUGGUUGUGACUGCAGGCUCUUGCUAAUUCUUGUGUCCUCCCUCAGCCCUGCUUAGAUGUGGCUGACUGCUUUUGUUUCAGUCCCUGACUUGGCUCUGGAAGUGCUGACUGGGGCAGGGGCCUCUCUCUUUUUCACAAGGGAAUGGAAGGCACGUGGCACAGAGCAAAACAUAUUCUGGAACGUUUUUACCUUGUAGCACAGAGAGUCAAAGCCCAGAACUAUUCUAAAAAGCAUUUAAUUUAGAUGGGAGAGUCCUGUGAUUUGUACAGUGUUAAAUUCGAUCUGGUCAACCUUGCUCCUUUAUACUGUAAUUUAAUAUUCAUUUUAAAAAGUGAUAUUAUUUGAGAGCCUUUCCUGGACCAAAUUAUUUCUCUUGAGCCCAG
rnacentral:lncRNA from 1 species